AGAGUUUGAUCCUGGCUCAGGAUGAACGCUAGCGGCAGCUAAUACAUGCAAGUCGAGUGGCGCACGGGUGAGUAACACGUACAUACAUGCCUUUGAGAGGGGGAAAGUACUGGAAACGAAUAAUCCGCCAUAAGGCCUCGAUAUUAAAUUCUCAAAGAUUGGUGUGCGUCUGAUUAGCUAGUUGGUGGGUAACGGCCACCAAGGCGACGAUCAGUAGGGGGCGUGAAGCGUGGCCCCCCACAUGGGUACUGAGACACGGACCCAACUCUACGGGAGGCAGCAGUAAGGAAUAUUGGUCAAUGGGCGAAAGCCUGAACCAGCCAUGCCGCGUGCGGGAAGAAGUUUAGAAUUGUAAACCGCUUUUGAUAGGGAAGAUUUAGACGGUACCUAUCGAAUAAGCACCGGCUAACUCCGUGCCGCAGCCGCGGUAAUACGGAGGGUGCAAGCGUUAUCCGGAAUCACUGGGUUUAAAGGGUACGUAGGCUGCUGUUAAGUCAUUAUUGAAAGGUCUUGCUUAACAAGGACGUGGUAAAGAUACUGGCGGCUAGAAUUAGACAGAGGUUGGCAGAAUUGUCAUGUAGCGGUGAAAUGCAUAGAUAUGACAAGAAUACCGAUAGCGAAGGCAGCUGACUGGGUCUAAAUUGACGCUGAGGUACGAAAGCGUGGGGAUCAAACAGGAUUAGAUACCCUGGUAGUCCACGCCGUAAACGAUGCUAACUGGGUGUAUGUUUGUGCACCGAGGGAAACNANNNAGUUACCACCUGGGAAGUACGCCGGCAAGGUAAACUCAAAGGAAUUGACGG
rnacentral:rRNA from 1 species